rnacentral:rRNA from 1 species
CCUACGGGUGGCAGCAGUGGGGAAUAUUGGGCAAUGGGCGCAGGCCUGACCCAGCAACGCCGCGUGAAGGAAGAAGGCUUUCGGGUUGUAAACUUCUUUUGUCAGGGAAGAGUAGAAGACGGUACCUGACGAAUAAGCCACGGCUAACUACGUGCCAGCAGCCGCGGUAAUACGUAGGUGGCAAGCGUUGUCCGGAUUUACUGGGUGUAAAGGGCGUGUAGCCGGGUUGACAAGUCAGAUGUGAAAUCCUGCGGCUUAACCGCAGAACUGCAUGUGAAACUGUUGAUCUUGAGUACUGGAGAGGCAGAUGGAAUUCCUAGUGUAGCGUUGAAAUGCGUAGAUAUUAGGAGGAACACCAGUGGCGAAGGCGGUCUGCUGGACAGCAACUGACGGUGAGGCGCGAAAGCGUGGGGAGCAAACAGGAUUAGAUACCCGGGUAGUC